GCAGACACCUACCCCAACACGGCAAAGCCCCCUGCAAAUUCCUGGAAGGGUGGAACUGGGACUCAGGGAACCUUCACGUUUGUGGCAACAUGGUGCAGGCCCUGGAACAAGCCUGGGGUAUGGGGAAUGCCUCACUCCUGAAACACAGCAUGGCUCACAAAUGUGGACAGUACAAGGUAUCGACUGACUUUCUAAAUACAUGAGCUGGCUGCCAACUAAGCUAAGCCUGACAGGGACUCUAACCUAGGCUGUAACAAACUCAGCGGCACACAAGCGACAAACGUCUUUUAUUUGGUUUAACAUUGUUAUCAUACUACUACGUUUUUGUUAGCCUAUCUUACUCAUUUUAUUUUCACAUCUCUAUCAAUAUGCCUAGGAUUUUAGAUAGCCUAGUUUCUCUUGCUUAAAAGUUAACCUAGACAUGUUCUGACUAGCCUGUAAUUUGCACUAAAUGAAAAAAAAAAAAUGUGCAGUAUACUCUAAUGCCUUGUAACAAAUAUGCACUGUCCAAUUAACUGUCUUGCCAAUGCUGUUGGGGAAUUGAAUGAUCGUCUGUUAAACACGUG